UACGGGGGGGGCAAGCGUUGUUCGGAAUUACUGGGCGUAAAGGGCUUGUAGGUGGCCAACUAAGUCAUGCGUGAAAUCCCUCGGCUUAACCGGGGAACUGCGUCUGAUACUGGAUGGCUUGAGUUUGGGAGAGGGAUGCGGAAUUCCAGGUGUAGCGGUGAAAUGCGUAGAUAUCUGGAGGAAUACCGGUGGCGAAGGCGGCAUCCUGGACCAAUACUGACGCUGAGGCGCGAAAGCUAGGGGAGCAAACGGG
rnacentral:rRNA from 1 species